rnacentral:rRNA from 1 species
UGCAGAGGCCUCGAGCGUUAGGCGGAAUCACUGGGCUUAAAGCGUGUGUAGGCGGACUUCUAAGUACCUUGUGAAAUCCCACGGCUUACCCGUGGACGUGCUUGGUAUACUGGUUGUCUUGAGCUUUCUAGGGGCGAGUGGAACAAAUGGUGGAGCGGUGAAAUGCGUAGAUAUCAUUUGGAACGCCAAUGGUGAAAACAACUCGCUGGGGAAAUGCUGACGCUGAGACACGAAAGCCAGGGGAGCGAAUGGG